UAGUUAGUUGGUGGGUAAAGGCCUACCAAGACAAUGAUGCAUAGCCGAGUUGAGAGACUGAUCGGCCACAUUGGGACUGAGACACGGCCCAAACUCCUACGGGAGGCUGCAGUAGGGAAUCUUCCACAAUGGGCGAAAGCCUGAUGGAGCAACGCCGCGUGUGUGAUGAAGGCUUUCGGGUCGUAAAGCACUGUUGUAUGGGAAGAAAAGUUAAGGUAGGGAAUGACCUUAGCCUGACGGUACCAUACCAGAAAGGGACGGCUAAAUACGUGCCAGCAGCCGCGGUAAUACGUAUGUCCCGAGCGUUAUCCGGAUUUAUUGGGCGUAAAGCGAGCGCAGACGGUUGGUUAAGUCUGAUGUGAAAGCCCGGAGCUCAACUCCGGAAAGGCAUUGGAAACUGGUUAACUUGAGUGCAGUAGAGGUAAGUGGAACUCCAUGUGUAGCGGUGGAAUGCGUAGAUAUAUGGAAGAACACCAGCGGCGAAGGCGGCUUACUGGACUGUAACUGACGUUGAGGCUCGAAAGUGUGGGUAGCAAACAGGAUUAGAUACCCUGGUAGUCCACACCGUAAACGAUGAACACUAGGUGUUAGGAGGUUUCCGCCUCUUAGUGCCGAAGCUAACGCAUUAAGUGUUCCGCCUGGGGAGUACGACCGCAAGGUUGAAACUCAAAGGAAUUGACGGGGACCCGCACAAGCGGUGGAGCAUGUGGUUUAAUUCGAAGCAACGCGAAGAACCUUACCAGGUCUUGACAUCCUUUGAAGCUUUUAGAAAUAGAAGUGUUCUCUUCGGAGACAAAGUGACAGGUGGUGCAUGGUCGUCGUCAGCUCGUGUCGUGAGAUGUUGGGUUAAGUCCCGCAACGAGCGCAACCCUUAUUGUUAGUUGCCAGCAUUCAGAUGGGCACUCUAGCGAGACUGCCGGUGACAAACCGGAGGAAGGCGGGGACGACGUCAGAUCAUCAUGCCCCUUAUGACCUGGGCUACACACGUGCUACAAUGGCGUAUACAACGAGUUGCCAACCUGCGAAGGUGAGCUAAUCUCUUAAAGUACGUCUCAGUUCGGACUGCAGUCUGCAACUCGACUGCACGAAGUCGGAAUCGCUAGUAAUCGCGGAUCAGCACGCCGCGGUGAAUACGUUCCCGGGUCUUGUACACACCGCCCGUCACACCAUGGAAGUUUGUAAUGCCCAAAGCCGGUGGCCUAACCGUAAGGAGGGAACCGUC
rnacentral:rRNA from 1 species